GCAGCGGCAGUCUGCGUGGGACGCAGUUUGCGGGACCUGGCCCCCGCCGUUUGGGCGGCCUGAGGAGCCUGAGGGCCGGCUGGGUCCUAGGCGUCUGGCUCCCUCAGUGAUGACAGCUGUGCAGGGUCUGGGGACCUGGUCCUGAGGGCACUGCCAGCUGGGAUCUGCCUCUUCAGCCGGGAGGACCCAGACUGGGUGCCGGACGAACGCUCCUGGGCAGGGUCACUGGCCCCCGCAGGGACCCCCUCCUCUUAGCCAGGACCUGGACCUCGGAGGGUGAAAGUUGAGCCUUAGGACCUUGCCCUUUCUUGUCAGAACAGAGAGUAACAUUUGUUGGGUGGAGAUUUACAGGAACGUCAUUACCUGACCGUGACCUGACCUCAAGAACAAAGGAUCUGACACCAAGAAAUUUACAACUAACCACGCCCCUCCCUCACCAUUGCUAUAAAAGGGCUUUGCUGAAAGCUUUCAGGGAGUUUAGGGUUUUUCAGGCAUGAACCACCCAUCUCCUUGCAUGGCCCUGCCAUAAACCUUUCUCUGCUCCAAACUCGGACGUUUUGGUAUUGUUUGGCCUCACUGUGCGUCGGGCACACAGACUUGCAUUCGGUAACACUAUCGCUGGAAAUUCCAAAGAUUUGGAAUUUGGAAUUUGGUUACCUUCUGGGAAUUAGGGACAAAGUCCAAUCAAAUUAACAUGAUGGUUCUUCCAAACCAAUACUGGCCUCUCUUUACGAAUUCUGGGGGAAAUUAGUCUCUGUCCCCUAAUACUGAUGUUCCAGUUAUCUCUUGCUGUGUAACUAACCACCCUAAAACUUAAUGGCUUUAAGCAACAGCCAUUUUAUCACUGCUCACUCUUCUGUAGGUUGACCGAAAUCAGCUCAGCAGUUCUGCUCCACGUGAUGGUGGCCAGGAGCUCAGCUGGGCUGGAAUGUCCUGGACGGGUCACUCACGUGCCUGUCAUAUUGUUGAUUUGACCAACGGUGGCACUUCAACUAGGCUGAGCCAAUGAGAUACUCGAAUACUGGAGCUGGACUGUCAAGGUUCAAAUCCCUAUUCCACUUCUUACCAGCAGUGAGCUCUAAGGUGGUAUAAUUUGUUCAAGGCAGCAAAGACUCGGCCUCUGAAUAUCGCGUUGUCUUUGAAGGAACAAUGGGCUGGUGUUGAUGUCUGCCUUUAAUCUCAAUUUAAAUAUCAUUUGAUAGUACGCUUUUGUUUCAAUGUCCAUAUUCCUUAAUGGUACAGUUAAAUCUCAUGACACAGAAAUUCAAUAUAGCGAAACUUGAAAGGAGAAUUUGUAUGUAUAAG